GUUUUACAAGAGUUUUUUU
rnacentral:sRNA from 1 species